rnacentral:lncRNA from 1 species
GGAACCUUCCAGUGAGACUCCACAACCUGCAGAGUUGCAUGGCACCUCUCAAGAGAAGGGGAUAUAAAGUGCUCCUAUCUGUCAGAAGCUGCAGCAUGUGCUGGCACAGAUUUCCCACCCUCUAGUCGUGGAUCCUCUUGUGCCAAAAUGAAAGCCUGGUGUCUUGUCACUUAUAGUUGUGACUCUGGUCAAAGACUUUCUCCAGCAUUGUGA